AACUUUUAACAAUGGAUCUCUUGGUUCUGGCAUCGAUGAAGAACGCAGCGAAAUGCGAUAAGUAAUGUGUAUUGCAGAAUUCAGUGAAUCAUCGAAUCUUUGAACGCACAUUGCGCCCUCUGGUAUUCCGGGGGGCAUGCCUGUUCGAGCGUCAUGUCUAACUCAAGCUCUUUGCUUGGUGUUGGGUGCCGUCCUCCGGGACGCACCUGGAAAUCAGCGGCGAUGCGGCCGGCGACCAGGCGUAGUAAACCACUUCCGCUUAGGUUCCCCGGGCGCGUUCGCCGGACAACCCUCCAUUUUUUAACUAUGGUUGACCUCGGAUCAGGUAGGGAUACCCGCUGAACUUAAGCAUAUCAAUAAGCGGAGGCU
rnacentral:misc_RNA from 1 species